GGGCCCGCACAAGCGGUGGAGCAUGUGGUUUAAUUCGAUGCAACGCGAAGAACCUUACCUACUCUUGACAUCCAUAGAACUUUCCAGAGAUGGAUUGGUGCCUUCGGGAACUAUGAGACAGGUGCUGCAUGGCUGUCGUCAGCUCGUGUUGUGAAAUGUUGGGUUAAGUCCCGCAACGAGCGCAACCCUUAUCCUUGUUUGCCAGCACUUCGGGUGGGAACUCCAGGGAGACUGCCGGUGAUAAACCGGAGGAAGGUGGGGACGACGUCAAGUCAUCAUGGCCCUUACGAGUAGGGCUACACACGUGCUACAAUGGCGCAUACAGAGGGCGGCCAACUUGCGAAAGUGAGCGAAUCCCAAAAAGUGCGUCGUAGUCCGGAUUGGAGUCUGCAACUCGACUCCAUGAAGUCGGAAUCGCUAGUAA
rnacentral:rRNA from 1 species